AUAUAUACACUCUCUCUGUCGCUGAAGUGAAGUCUCCAUGUAAGGGCAGACUCACAAGCAGAGUUCAUGCUGCUCGAUUCUUCUUCCCUUUCUCCACCGCGAGUCGAUAAAGCUUGUUGCUAUCCAGGUUGAACUUGUAUUCCACCUCCGAAUGGCUGGUGGCGCCACCUAGCUACGAAGAACAGUGGGUGCUUAUGAGUUGUAUCUUUUAUAAGUAAAUAUUUGAUUGUACUUUUUUCAUGGAUUAUCAGGGGACCACUAUAUUUAAUUUGUUGAGAUGAUUCUUGAGUUGUAAAUUAUCCCGAAAAAUUUCCUAUAAUUAGGAAAUGCACCCAGCUCUACAUGGAUUUUGGUGUUGCUGAGGAAGUAGAAUGGAAGCACCUGACAGGUUACACAUAUCUUGUGCUUUGCCAUGUGGCAUUGGCUUUAUGUACCAUACAACUUCCACCUAAUAUGAAUGAUGGGACCCACCUGUCAGCGUGUCAAGCAGGAGCGAGAUGGGGCCUACUCAGUGGAGUGAAGAACAUUUGGAAAUGCCAUUACCUACUGAAAAUGCUUCUAGUUUCUUUGAAUUUUGAAACUGGAUAACUUACACCACUGUUUCAUUGCCUCAGAGCAGGGGAUUGUGAAUGCUCAGUUCUGUCAUAUUCAAACUUUGAAAACAGAGGAGGAACCUGAUCAUGUUGUGCGAUUGAUCAAUACGUACUGCAUUGAUGUGGAGUCAAUCUUAUUUGAACUUGGAAGUUACAUUGAUCUUCCUGACGUUGAUUUUUCUAAGUUGGCUGCCCUAGCCCAGCAAUUAGAGGAGAGAAGCUCCCUGUAAGAUGAUAUUUGAUAUUCUGUGUAAGGGUAGUUAUUGGAUAACAAGAGUAAUAAUCAUGUCAGAUAAAUAGAGAAAAUAGGAAACAAUUUCUGGAAUGAAGUGUAUGUUUGACAUUGGUUGGCUACACGUGGUGCACUUGUAGAUAGGUUGCUUUUAGUGAAAAGGAGUUUAGAUAUACUGAAAGAAGGAAAUAUUAAGAGUAAAAAAGCAGCUGUUUGAACAUGGUUUAAAAGGCUGAGCUAAUGGUUUCUUGCCUUUGAUCGAGACCUGGGUACUGGGACUUUCCUUGGUGAUGCAAAAGCACACAACAUGUGUGCAUUUAUUAAUCUGAUUAGGAAAGACAUAUUUAUGUUUUCUCCUCAUUUCAAUCGUGCACUUUCUAUUUUUAAUCUUUGGGGUAGCGGGUGCUGAUGGUUGAUUGUUUACUUUUAGUGGUGAACGAGGAAAGAAAAUUUCAUGUGCUUAUCUCUCUCUCUCUCUCUCAUGUGCGGUUCCUCCCUUUGCUAUGGUAGAUAACUUGUUCAGCAUGAUUCAUCAAACGAUUGUAUAUUUUUGCUUCUCAAGCGGUCACUGGACCUUCAAGUGCUCUUAGCAUGCUUUAUAUUGUCUUUCUUCUAUGGCAAGGCCACAAUACUUUUUGUUUCUUCAUGAAAUAUUUUCUUAACACUACAUUCUUUCCCGUUCCUUUCAAGUAAAGAGCAUAAAUAAUAACUUGGUUCAGAAGUAGCUCCUACAUGUGAUGAUUUAUUUGUACUUGUUUGCUAUCAGUCUCUUACUUUUAUUAAGCUGGCAUUAGGUGUUCUUACCUUUAUGUUUUUUUAUUUGUCUUCAUGGAUGUAUAUGGCAUGCACGUAAUGAUGAAUAUCAUAUAUGCAAAUUAUAGUCAUUGACUAUUCUAUUCAGCAUUUUUAUAUUUCCUAUGUAUGCUAUGAGAUGUCCAAAUAUGUAUAUGUAGUUGUAUUAAGCAACACUCCAAUUAAAAAGAAAAGCCAAUUUGAUUCUUUUUCUUUAGUUAAAACAACAUAAUGAUCUAAAUGGUUUAAGCACCAUCUCUAAGAAUAAUGGUUAGCUGAAACAAUAGGCUAGCACUUUUAGGCCUAUGUGAUAAUUUAUUUUUGCAUGGAACUUUAAAUUUAUCAUGAAUGGUGUCAUGUGGAAAUGAGCUAGAGUGAACCUUCUUAUAUGUUGGUUCCUGGAUUAAAAAAAAUAAAAUUAAACGACAAUAAUGAUAGUUCAUUAAAGUUCAGAAGUAGCAAGUAUCUAGUAGUUUCCUUUUUUUCAUCAUGCAUUAUGCUCUAGAGUUCCACUGUCAUAUACAUUUAUCACGACUCAUUCUUCCUUUUAGUUAAAAGGCGGCAAUAACCCUAAGAUUUACAAGUGGGAUGAUGUUUGGAUAAAUGCACUGCUGUCUUAUGCAUGUUCAUAUGAUUUGUCUGUGUUAACAUCCACAAACUAAAAUGUUGGAAUCUAGCAAUGUGAGAUAAUCAUUGGUUAAAAAAUAACGAGAGCUAUUAGUCACUUAUAUUCAGCACAAAAGAUAGUAAAUGGUAAAAAAUUAUUGCUAGUUUAUAAUUUUUCUUCUCAAGGAAAAUAAACUGUGCAGAUGGUUUUACCAAUAUACCUACAGUUUCUUUGUUGUCCCACUAGUCUAGCUGAAAGUUAAUUUCCCAUCUAUCAUAAAAAGAAUUAAAAAGGUGGAUAUAAUGUUCUUGGUUUUACAGCAUGGGUGCAGAGCAUAUGAGGCUUGCAUGUGCUGAUCUCAUUCAAGCCUGUCGUCAGAUGGAUAAAAGAAACUUGUCCCUUUCCCUCAAUUGGAUAAAGAAUGAAUUUGCUCAUAUUCGGACCAAGUUGGAAGUCGUCGUUCAGGUAAUGCAAUUUUAAUUCUUGUCUUGUGGACUCUUAAGUUCUUGUUUACUUGAAAGUAACAUAUCUGUGUAUUGUUGUUUGGGAUUUCAUGGUAUGUUUCCUUGACCUCUUGUGGAGUUUUUAUAGUAAGUAUGUCAUUUUUUGAAUGAGUCGAUAGUAUUGCUAUGUGAGUAGUGUUAAUUUAUUGGAUGCAUAAUGGCAGAUGAAAAAUGCAACUCAGCCUAAAGGAGAAUAUGGGUAAAAAAGAAUUCUAUAUAUUUAAGCAUAUUUCCAAUUAUUCACAAGGAAAAGAAAAAAAUGCCUAAAUGCAAAACCGAUUUCUCUUUUCAGUAUUUAACAUGAAUUUAAGGUACCCUGGCUGAAACUGUAAAACAGGGCUAGCAAUUUUUAGCAAAUUGUUUUACUGUAAAAAUCUUCAAUGAUUGAAAUCAAAAGGGACAGUAAUAAUUGAAUGUAGAUCAUAAUAUUACAUAAAAAUAACAAUCCAAUACUAUAACUACUAAAAUAAUACACCACUUUUUGUUGACGAUGAACUUGAAUAUUUAUUUACUGAUUUGAAAUUCAUCUUUCUGCAAGCACAACCUUGGUUGGUUGUCUAUAUUGUAGAUCCUAGAAUUCCUGAAUGUGGUGCAUGCCAUAAGCCGGUUCACUUUGGUUCUACGAAUCACUAAAAAGCUCAUGAGUACUGCAUAAUCGUACAUCAUUAUCAUUCAAACUCCCUUUCCAAAUAUCUCACAUGCUUAAGUAUCUGCUAGAUCCACGAUAAUAUUUGAUUGUGUGCUUCACUUAUGUUUUAAUUGAUCAAUUGUCUUUUUUCAUUAAGAUUUCAAAAACUCUUAUUUCCUUAAAUCGUGUAUGUUUUAGACUUCUUGCUGCUUAAGUUGGCAGCACUUUUGAUAAAUGCUUGAUUUGUUUGCUACCACAGGUUGGAAACAUGUUUGAGUCUUUAAUAGGUUUUGCUUUUGGGCUUUGGUAGAAGUUCAACAUGGAAAAAAGAGAUACAUUUGUAAUGCCACUCAAUUGCAUAAAACUUCUUGCUAAAGGAGGAUAACAGGCAACAAAGGACUGCAUCAUAAUCAAAUCAAUCUCAAAAUCCCGAGUCUCAGUUUUGAGUGGCUGUGUGCAGCACUUUUAAUUGAGGAAGAAUAGUUUCCUAUAAUGGUUUUCAAGGCACGUGGGAUAAGAUUGCUGGCUUGUUGCAUUUUAGGUAUCGAAUUGCAUGUGGCAAAAUGUGCGUCAUUUCUUGGCAGCAUUUUACUUAAAACAUAAAAAACUAACAUAUAACACCAACAUUAACAGGACUUUGGUUUAUCGUUCAGUUGUUUUUGAGAGAGUGAGAGAAAUGCAUAAUUAUACCAAGCACUCCCCAAGUUCUUGGCACAUGCAGAUUUUUUCAAGUUUUUGGUUCUCCACAAUAAUUUCUGCUUCACAGUAUUGUCCCUUUUGUAAUAAAGUAUGGUGCACAAAUGUUUUGUUGCCUGCAUUUAACAAACACUUCUGCUUGUUGCUUUUUCUGGGCCUCAAUGGUUUGUAGAUGGAGCGGAAGAUUAUGCGACUUGAGAGCAAACAUAAAAAGUAGAUUUCUGUCUUGUCAAGUUCACCUCGAUGUGUCUGUGAGAAAACUUCUCGAUAACCUAUCCAUGCAGGAGUGAUGCUUGUGGAUUUAAGAUCAGGUUGUUCUUAUAGCUGUUGUUGCUUUGUACUUAGUUGUAUAUUAGUGGAUGGCAUGCUGUAUUAGGAAGGAUUCUCAUCUUUAUUUUGCACUAAUAAAUAAUAUACUCAUUUCGUUGAGAAAGUUGUCCGUUAACAUAAAAGAAUUUGUUUCCAUAUAUUAUGCUUUUUUUGGGUCUAACAAGGGGGUGAGGUUCGACUAGGUUGAACCUGACCUGAUGUUUCCAUAUAUUAUUCUGCUAAACAAGAUCGGACAACAUUAUUUAUCUUACUCUAUUAUGGAUUGAUGUGGAUAACACUGAAAUGAAUGACCAUAGAGUGCUAAAAUAAGUUUGCCUCAUAGUUGCCCAGUUGCUGCUGUAAAAUGACUCUACUUCUCUCAGUAGCUUGGGAAGAACACUCGAGAAUAUUGAAAGCAAUAUUCCACCCCUGGGUAUUGAAGAGAUCGGCCAGGUUUUGGUUUUCUUGGGAGAAUCUUGUGAUGAUUCCAUCAGAACAAAGAAACAUAACAUCUUUCGGCUGGUUAAUGAGACAAUUCAUGACAGAGACACAAUCACUAAAAGAGCUUAUCGAAGAAGAUACUCGGGGUCUUCAAACUCCAAUACAUGAGCUUUGCCCGAGGUUAGGACCUAUUAACUCACGCGCAGGUUGGUAGGUGUUCGGAUUUAUUCUGUCAAACCUACGGGGAAAGGGAAAGAUGCAUGUGGAUGAACUCCUGCCAUCUUGUCUUUCUGUUCCACGUCCUUCCUCAGGACUGCGCUGAAUAAGUCUCUCACAGAAAAUUCAAAUGAUUCUUGAUCUGCAAAAUGCGAAUAAUCAUGCUGAAUUUCCUCAUGCCACAGGCUUCUGUCUGACGCAGGAACUUGAUGCUUCUCUCUAUUUAGGCCCGGAAAUGGACUUUGAUUGGCUUUCAUGAGCAUCUCGUAGAGUAGGAUCUCCAUCAGCACGAAAACUCGGUUCUUAUCUAAUAAAUUCGUUUGGCGUAGCGGAUGCCAUGACAAACUCUAAU